rnacentral:rRNA from 1 species
CAUGCAAGUCGAACGAGAAUCUGUGGAACGAGGAUUCGUCCAAGUGAAGCAGAGGACAGUGGCGGACGGGUGAGUAACGCGUGAGGAACCUGCCUUUCAGAGGGGGACAACAGUUGGAAACGACUGCUAAUACCGCAUGACACAUUGAAGUCGCAUGGCUUUGAUGUCAAAGAUUUAUCGCUGAAAGAUGGCCUCGCGUCUGAUUAGCUAGUUGGUGAGGUAACGGCCCACCAAGGCGACGAUCAGUAGCCGGACUGAGAGGUUGAACGGCCACAUUGGGACUGAGAUACGGCCCAGACUCCUACGGGAGGCAGCAGUGGGGAAUAUUGGGCAAUGGGCGCAAGCCUGACCCAGCAACGCCGCGUGAAGGAAGAAGGCUUUCGGGUUGUAAACUUCUUUUGUCAGGGACGAGCAGAGGACGGUACCUGACGAAUAAGCCACGGCUAACUACGUGCCAGCAGCCGCGGUAAUACGUAGGUGGCAAGCGUUGUCCGGAUUUACUGGGUGUAAAGGGCGUGUAGCCGGGAGGGCAAGUCAGAUGUGAAAUCCACGGGCUCAACUCGUGAACUGCAUUUGAAACUACUCUUCUUGAGUAUCGGAGAGGCAAUCGGAAUUCCUAGUGUAGCGGUGAAAUGCGUA